GACGAACGCUGGCGGCGUGCUUAACACAUGCAAGUCGAGCGGUAAGGCCCUUUCGGGGUACGACGAGCGGCGAACGGGUGAGUAACACGUGGGUGACCUGCCUUUAGCUCUGGGAUAAGCCUGGGAAACUGGGUCUAAUACCGGAUAUGACUCCGCGGUGCAUGCUGUGGGGUGAAAGCCUUGUGCGGCUGGAGAUGGGCCCGCGGCCUAUCAGCUUGUUGGUGGGGUGAUGGCCUACCAAGGCGACGACGGGUAGCCGGCCUGAGAGGGCGACCGGCCACACUGGGACUGAGACACGGCCCAGACUCCUACGGGAGGCAGCAGUGGGGAAUCUUGCGCAAUGGGCGAAAGCCUGACGCAGCGACGCCGCGUGAGGGAUGACGGCU
rnacentral:rRNA from 1 species